GACAGAGGGUGCAAACGUUGUUCGGAAUUACUGGGCGUAAAGCGUGCGUAGACGGUUGCGUAAGUCAGAUGUGAAAGCCCCGGGCUCAACCUGGGAAUUGCAUUUGAGACUGCGUAGCUAGGGUGCGGAAGAGGGAAGCGGAAUUUCCGGUGUAGCGGUGAAAUGCGUAGAUAUCGGAAGGAACACCAGUGGCGAAAGCGGCUUCCUGGUCCAGCACCGACGUUCAGGCACGAAAGCGUGGGGAGCAAACAGG
rnacentral:rRNA from 1 species